rfam:Salmo salar isolate Sally breed double haploid chromosome ssa13, whole genome shotgun sequence.
GACUGAUCAUACUGUAAGUCGCUCUGGAUAAGAGCGUCUGCUAAAUGACGUAAA